AUUGGUCGCAGGUUCGGGACUCACGCAGUGAGACAACGGAGCCGCUUGCGGCGACGGCCCGAAGGGCGAGCGAAGCGAGUCAUCCUGCACGACCCACCA
rnacentral:sRNA from 1 species